UCCCAGGUGGCUCAGUGGUAAAGAAUCUGCCUGCCAAUGCAGGAAGAUGCAGGAGACUUGGGUUCAAUCCCUUGUCUGGGAA
rnacentral:tRNA from 1 species